AAUUUUGGACAAUGGGGGAAACCCUGAUCCAGCAAUGACGCGUGCAGGAGGAAGGCCUUCGGGUUGUAAACUGCUUUUGUACGGAACGAAACGUCUUGGGUUAAUACCCUGGGAUCGUGACGGUACCGUAAGGAUAAGCACCGGCUAACUUAGUGCCAGCAGCCGCGGUAAUACGUAGGGUGCAAGCGUUAAUCGGAAUUACUGGGCGUAAAGAGUGCGCAGGCGGUUUUGUAAGACAGUUGUGAAAUCCCCGGGCUCAACCUGGGAACUGCAAUGGUGACUGCAAGGCUGGAGUGCGGCAGAGGGGGAUGGAAUUCCGCGUGUAGCAGUGAAAUGCGUAGAUAUGCGGAGGAACACCGAUGGCGAAGGCAAUCCCCUGGGCCUGCACUGACGCUCAUGCACGAAAGCGUGGGGAGCAAACAGG
rnacentral:rRNA from 1 species